rnacentral:rRNA from 1 species
GACGAACGCUGGCGGCGUGCUUAACACAUGCAAGUCGAACGGAAAGGCCCUGCUUUUGUGUGGUUCUCGAGUGGCGAACGGGUGAGUAACACGUGAGUAACCUUCCCUGGGCUUUGUGAUGACUGCAGGAGACUGGUGCUAAUACCUGAUAGGAGCUCCUGCUGCAUGGUGGUGGUUGGAAAGUUUCGGCUGUGGGGGAUGUACUCGCGGCUUAUCAGCUUGUUGGUGGGGUAGUGGCUUACCAAGGCUUUGACGGGUAGCCGGCAUGAGAGGGUGACCGGCCACAUUGGGACUGAGAUACGGACCAGACGCCUACGGGAGGCAGCAGUGGGGAAUAUUGCACAAUGGGCGGAAGCCUGAUGCAGCAAUGCCGCGUGCGGGAUGCCGGCCUUCGGGUUGUAAACCGCUUUAGCCUGUGACGAAGCGUGAGUGACGGUAAUGGGUAAAGAAGCACCGGCUAACUACGUG